GGGGCUGUAGCUCAGCGGGAGAGCACCUGGUUUGCAACCAGGGGGUCGGGAGUUCAAAUCUCCCCAGCUCCA
rnacentral:tRNA from 1 species